UCCUGGCUCAGGAUGAACGCUGGCGGCGUGCCUAACACAUGCAAGUCGAACGGAGCGCCCGGACGGAGUAUUUCGGUACAAAGACCGGGUGGCUGAGUGGCGGACGGGUGAGUAACGCGUGGACAACCUGCCGUGUACAGGGGGAUAACAGCCGGAAACGGCUGCUAAUACCGCAUAUGCGCACAGUGCCGCAUGGCACAGGGCGGAAAGCCUAGAUCUUAUCUAGUACGGUACACGAUGGGUCCGCGUCUGAUUAGGUAGUUGGCGGGGUAACGGCCCACCAAGCCCACGAUCAGUAGCCGGCCUGAGAGGGCGGACGGCCACACUGGGACUGAGACACGGCCCAGACUCCUGCGGGAGGCAGCAGUGGGGAAUAUUGCACAAUGGGGGGAACCCUGAUGCAGCGACGCCGCGUGAAGGAAGAAGUAUCUCGGUAUGUAAACUUCUAUCAGCAGGGAAGAAAGAGGACGGUACCUGACUAAGAAGCCCCGGCUAACUACGUGCCAGCAGCC
rnacentral:rRNA from 1 species